AGCUUUCUGUAUCCGUGCUGAGAUUUCAUCACACACCAAACCACAAGAGUUGAUCAAACAUCCAUGACAAGUAAAGCG
rfam:Schistosoma curassoni strain Dakar, Senegal genome assembly, scaffold: SCTD_scaffold0006286